rnacentral:rRNA from 1 species
GAUGAACGCUGGCGGCGUGCUUAACACAUGCAAGUCGAACGGGAAACAUUUUAUUGAAGCUUCGGCAGAUUUAGCUUGUUUCCAGUGGCGGACGGGUGAGUAACGCGUGGGUAACCUGCCUCACACUGGGGGAUAACAGUCAGAAAUGACUGCUAAUACCGCAUAAGCGCACGGGAUCGCAUGAUCCAGUGUGAAAAACUCAGGUGCUGUAAGAUGGACCCGCGUUGGAUUAGCUAGUUGGCAGGGUAACGGCCUACCAAGGCGACGAUCCAUAGCCGGCCUGAGAGGGUGACCGGCCACAUUGGGACUGAGACACGGCCCAAACUCCUACGGGAGGCAGCAGUGGGGAAUAUUGCACAAUGGGCGAAAGCCUGAUGCAGCAACGCCGCGUGAAGGAUGAAGUAUUUCGGUAUGUAAACUUCUAUCAGCAGGGAAGAUAAUGACGGUACCUGACUAAGAAGCCCGGCUAACUACGUGCCAGCAGCCGCC